rnacentral:rRNA from 1 species
UGGGGAAUUUUGCGCAAUGGGGGAAACCCUGACGCAGCGACGCCGCGUGAAGGAUGAAGGUCUUCGGAUUGUAAACUUCUUUUGUUGGGGACGAUAGUGACGGUACCCGAUGAAUAAGCCACGGCUAACUCUGUGCCAGCAGCCGCGGUAAGACAGAGGUGGCAAGCGUUGUUCGGAAUUACUGGGCUUAAAGGGCGCGUAGGUGUCCCGGCAAGUCAGAUGUGGAAUCUCUCCGCUUAACGGGGAAAUUGCAUCUGAAACUGUCGGGAUUGAGUCAGCGAGGGGAUGGCGGAAUUCCAGGUGUAGCGGUGAAAUGCGUAGAUAUCUGGAGGAAGGCCGGUGGCGAAGGCGGCCAUCUGGCGCUGAACUGACACUGAGGCGCGAAAGCGUGGGGAGCAAACAGGAUUAGAUACCCUGGUAGUCCACGCCCUAAACGGUGGAUACUAGGUGUAGGGCUCGUAAGGGUUCUGUGCCGAAGGGAACCA